GGGGAGUUCAUUGUGAGGGAGGAAAUUAGAUGAAGAGGGUAGGUCGGGGUUCGAAAAGGGGUUGGACUCUCGAAUCUUUCUCUCCUACCAUCUAAGCAAAGGGAAUGAAAUUUCAGAAUUUGAUAGAUUUAGUUGGUUCUGAAUAAUUGCUAAAACUGGAGUUGCCAACCAGAGCAAGGAAGAGGACGACGCGACCUCAGCAAGGAAGAUGAAUUUUUUUUGUCGGUGUGAUGUAUCUCAGUGUGAUGGAGAGACAAAAAGAGGGUAGGAUCGGCAUUUAAAAACUUUCAUUAAACACCCUGUUCACCCGUGUUUUCAAUAAAAAAAAAUCCGAUUUUUCAAAGCAGCAAAUAAUUGCUUCAAGAUUUCAGCUUUUUAUGACCAUAACUUUGGAAAUAAGCGCCCUUUCGCUCUGUUACCAAACAUAAUUUUUAGGCCAGCUUUUUUCACCCGUGCUUUUAAAAAAAUUUAAACAGUACCAAACUGGUUCUAACUCUCUUUUCCUCUCACCGUCUACAAGCCACUUUGUUUGCUUUAUCUUUUUUCUUCAUCUUUACAAUUUUUUUCUUCGAUUUUCGUUGAUGGGUCGCAUCAUUUAUAGAUAAAAAUGAUGUUAGUUGCAUCAUUUCUCAUAUGUAGUAGUGUUGUUGGGUCACAAUUUUUCACAUCUUCAAUUUUUUAUCACGCAGCAAUCACCUCUUGUUCUUUGUCAUUUUUUUUUUCCACUUACCCUUUUGAGAUUUCUUUGGAGUUUUCUUUUUUCUAAUCACCGGAGCCCUCUGCUGAUUGUUGUUGCUUCUGCAGCAUGGGUUCAUGUAUAACACGUGUAUUUACUAACUACGCACGCGACUAUUGAAAUUAUUUCAAUUUUUUA